GCGCGAGUGGUGAAAUUGGCAGACACGCAGCCUUGAGGUGGUUGUGCCCUUUCGGGCGUGGAGGUUCAAGUCCUCUCUCGCGCA
rnacentral:tRNA from 1 species